AGUGAACGCUGGCGGCAGGCCUAACACAUGCAAGUCGAACGGCAGCACAGGAGAGCUUGCUCUCUGGGUGGCGAGUGGCGGACGGGUGAGGAAUACAUCGGAAUCUACUUUUUCGUGGGGGAUAACGUAGGGAAACUUACGCUAAUACCGCAUACGACCUACGGGGGAAAGCAGGGGACCUUCGGGCCUUGCGCGAUUGAAUGAGCCGAUGUCGGAUUAGGUAGUUGGGGGGGUAAAGGCCCACCAAGGCGACGAUCCGUAGCUGGUCUGAGGGGAUGAUCAGCCACAAUGGAACAGAGACACGGCCCCGACUCCUACAGGAGGCAGCAGUGGGGAAUAUUAGACAAUGGGCGCAAGCCUGAUCCAGCCAUACCGCGGGGGUGAAGAAGGCCUUCGGGUUGUAAAGCCCUUUUGUUGGGAAAGAAAUCCAGCUGGCUAAUACCCGGUUGGGAUGACGGUACCCAAAGAAUAAGCACCGGCUAACUUCGUGCCAGCAGCCGCGGUAA
rnacentral:rRNA from 1 species